rnacentral:rRNA from 1 species
UACGUAGGGGGCAAGCGUUGUCCGGAAUCAUUGGGCGUAAAGCGCGUGUAGGCGGCUCGAUAAGUCUGCUGUGAAAGUCCAGGGCUCAACCCUGGGAUGCCGGUGGAUACUGUCGAGCUCGAGUCCGGAAGAGGCGAGUGGAAUUCCUGGUGUAGCGGUGAAAUGCGCAGAUAUCAGGAGGAACACCAAUUGCGAAGGCAGCUCGCUGGGACGUUACUGACGCUGAGACGCGAAAGCGUGGGGGAGCAAACAGG